UUUGCUAAUUUAAAUUUAAACUCACACACACAACCUUCGCCACUGCCCAGGCUUGAAACCCCACCCUCUUGGUACUCAAGAGAUGGGGGUAACCAUUGGGCUGCGUAGUGAUGUGACUGCGUAUAUUUGAUUUUUAAAUUUGGAUAUUAAAAUGACACGAAAUUAAAUGGUAAAGGUGUGUAUAAGGUUUGAUUCUGGUUGUGUUAAUAAGGAGUUUCUUGGGAUGAUUCCAAUAUAUUGGAAGUGUGAAUUCAUACAUUGUUUUUUUGGGUGGAAAAGUAAUACUGGAUAGAAACCAGCAUUAAACUUGAUUUUAUGUUGUUCUGCCUAAUUUGCCAUUUUGCCUAUUAUGUGAAUAAUCUGUAUAUUUUUAGACACUUAAUAUACUUUAUAAUAUGUAAGGCAUUUUGUCCAAGUUAAUAUUGGUAUCUAAUGAUGAGCAUUAUGGUGUGAGGUAGACAGGUUCGUAGAUAGGAUAUUUGAUUCAUACAUCUAUCAAUAUUAGGAAUUUAAAUAAUUAACUUAGUUUUAACUUGCGUUGUUCAUUGAACAUACUUACAGUUCGGAUCUGAUGAUUGCCCUCUCCUCCACCAGCACCUUUUUUUGGUGGGGCUGGGGGGAAUUCUUCUUAAAAUGAUUAUAAUCGAGUCUGCCAUUGAAUUCUUUCCUGUUUCAUCCCUGUGUUUUGGCUUGAACCAUGGUGUAUGAUGCUCUACUUUAUAUGUUUCAUCUGGUAUAAAUUCAUAUGUUUUUUCAUCAGCUGUGUGCAUAUCUGUAUGCCUUUUAUAUUCUUAAUAUUUGAAAAAAGUAUGUAUGUUGUUUAUAAGGGUUGAGAACAUAUGGAAAUAUUGUUUAGGAAAUAAACUAAGAAUGAGGAAGCUAGAUGUUAGGGAAACAUGGGUUGGGUUGGUUUAUUGACAAGGUUGAGUGGGGGAUUUGUUUUCUG
rnacentral:lncRNA from 1 species